AGCGGAAGUCGAGGUGCUGCAUGGCUGUCGUCAGCUCGUGUCGUGAGAUGUUCGGUUAAGUCCGCUAACGAGCGCAACCCCUGUCCUUAGUUGCCAUCAGGUAAUGCUGGGAACUCUAAGGAAACUGCCCUGGUUAACGGGGAGGAAGGUGGGGACGACGUCAAGUCAUCACGGCCUUUAUGUCCAGGGCUACACACGUGCUACAAUGGCCGGUACAGACGGACGCAAAGCCGCGAGGUGGAGCAAAUCCUAAAAAGCCGGUCUCAGUUCGGAUUGCAGGCUGCAAUUCGCCUGCAUGAAGUCGGAAUCGCUAGUAAUCGCAGGUCAGCAUACUGCGGUGAAUACGUUCCCGGGUCUU
rnacentral:rRNA from 1 species